rnacentral:sRNA from 1 species
UUAGCCUGUAGUAGCUGACAGAUCUAUACAUAGUGUACAAACGAUACUUCUGGGGCAUAAUGCGUAUUCAGAACAUCUAUCGAUACAAAAGUCCGACCAACUAUCGAUACAAAAAUCCGACUAUCUAUCGAUACAGCAUAUUCAAUCAUAUUCACAAACAUUUCCUGCCGCCAACCAAAGUGAGGUAUCUAUACAAUACAAACGAAAACAUCAAACCAGCUAUAUGAGAUACACCUUCAGAGAUCAUUAUAGGACACCCUCAUCGCCGGCAUCAGACGUUACCCUUGUCCCCAUUGCCAAUCCUGUUAUCGCUCUUCGACGGUCCCGCGGCAGGCGCUUCAAACUAAUCGAUUUCCAUUAAUGUCUCAAGGGUUGUUGGUCCUUCCAGUACUGUUUGCCCACUUUGUUGCCCAUCCUCGGCAUCCUCUUCCUCCCCUUCUUCAUCAGCGCUAUCGCUGUCAUACCAAGAGACAUCAUCUCGCUCUACAUCGCUAUCCGGGCUGGCGGGCGAGGUAUCUUCGUAUUGGGGUUCGUGGUCAGCUGCAAGAGCUCGCUGGUACAAAUCCUGGUAUUGGCGUUGAAGGACUUGGUCUUGCUUAAAUUUUCCUGUGAUCAUAUAUGUAUUCCAAAGAACAGAUAGCCCAUCUGCAACCCAUCGCUGCUCCAGCUGACGAUGCUCUUCUAAGCGCUUCUUGAGAAGGUAAACCACACCCUUGAAGACAUCCAACGUUUUUGCGUAAGGGUAAGAGAUAUACAUACUUGGCUCCGCCAUAUCCAGCUCUUUCCUCCUCUCCACGUCUCCUUCAUCAAGAGCUUUCUUAUACUCUUCGUCCCAUUUUAUCUGUUCUAUCACCUUUUCCUCCCAGUCUUGGAUCGAGCUCUGAAGAGUCUUGAAAGUUUUGUCGGACCACCGUAUGAGUCGAGCAAGCUCGACUUGCAAAAUGGUCAACUCUUCUCGGCAUCGGUCCCUGUCUAGUAACGCUGUAAUUCCUGUCAUGUCGGUCAGAAAUGCGCCUCUUAGACUAUACAUCACAUACCUUCCUGACAAUCGGCAUUCUUCGCCCACUCUUUUUCUGAAAGGGUCAACCAAACCACGUCCGUCCAAAAAACAUCGUCGUCGUUCAUCUUUGUCACAUCCUUCCAGCACUUCAACAUCGGUGGUGCUUUACGGGUGUUCGGUGUUGAUGACUGCGGUGUUCGAGCAAGGAAGGCUGUAUAAUCAAGGACGGCGGCAUUGAAGGCCCUCACCGCGGCGUUCUGAUGGAUGCUUCUUCCGUUGGCUCCCUUCUCAAUCCUCUGCAGAAGACGCUGGCCUGCAUGACUUGAUAUUAGCAAUAGCCUAGGUGAUCUAAUAGCAUGAUACUUACCAACUGACGGUCUCAUUCCCAGUUUAGUUUCCUUCUUUGGCCGCGAAGCCGAGAGUUGUAUGUCUCUUUCACGCCGUAGGGCACAUUUGGCUGCAUGGAGCUUGCAGAGAUAUUUAAGCUCCUCUGCACUGACUGCCAAACCUCUCAGUCUCCCUCGCCAACUUCUCUAUGUCUCCUCCAUACUCCUUCUCUUUGCUGUUGAGAUUUUCAAGGAGUUUUUCUGCGAUCUUCAGCUUCUCAGACCCUGGCGCGACAUUGGUUUUCAGUUCCUUGCUACAAGCACCGUCUCAGCAAAAGUACAAUGAGGAUCAAGGGCAAUUAAAAACUCACCUUAUAUCCUUUACUCUGUCCCAUAAACCGAGCAGCUCUCCCAAUUUUUCAUAUUUCUUCCUCCUCUCCACCGACGCUUCAAUCUCGCCCUGGUCCUCUUGAGUCUUCUUCUGAUCACUCCACUAACUCGCCAACUUCGUCUCUGACCAUCCCUUCUUCCCAACCUCUUCUAGAACGCGCACACUUUCCAGAAGUCUGAUUUGCGUUUUUUUCAACCUUGUCCUAAUCCAUGAAACUGAAAGAAUAGACCGUCAGUGAUCGCAGUCGACAUGAUAUGUGCAGACACUCACCUAAAUCUCUCCUUCGGCUUUGGUUCACGUGUUCCACACGGAAGUGUGUGUUCCACAAACGGAGAGAUUUACUUGACUCACUAUUGAGUCGGACAAGGGCUGCCAAUGCAGACCAGAAGCGCUCCACCCCCUCCCCAUCGCUUAAGCCAAAGCCCGGAAUUAAUCGAGGGUGAUACCGUAAUUGGCAUAGCCAGUCGUGUGCGUAGGCAUGAAACACAGCGACCCCAAUGGCUAGCCGUCGGCGGACGUCGUUCACCCUGUCAUCUAGUUCCUCGGCCAAAAACUUCCUCUAAAAUUCAUGGUGGCUCUCGAAAUUGCACCCAAUGUCGUACAAAAGUCCAACACGAACAUCGGGGUCAACAUCGAAAAGGAUGUAUUGGAUGAGGGCGAGAGGAUAAAACAUUCUGCAUCGACGUGAGCAAGUUUAGGUGGCUGUGUCCAGGCAUGUGCGCUCACUUUUCCCCGGUUUGAUAAAGGUUCACCAUUUUAUGACAGCAAUUAUGCCGACAUACAAUGGCUACAAACCCGGUGUCCGUCUUAUAAUUAUCCUCUUUCUGGCCCCCAUCCUUGGCUUUCCAGUUGUCCGAACAGGCCUAUCAAAAGUUGCUUCAGUAUCCGAACCGCAUAGAGAGGUGUUGAUUUACCGAAGAAUCUCUUCCAACUUUCACUUUAUCCGCACCAGACUCCUCAUACUGCUCAGCAGCAUGGGAGACAUGGCUCUUGCUGAGAAAGCUAGGGGGGAUAAUGUUGGAGAAAUCAAACUUGGCGGAGCUCUUCAGCCUAGAAUGAGUAAAAUUGGCGUCAACAGCCAUAUACACCUCUUUCAUAGCAUCUGGAAGGUCGGAUGAUUCCCUUGGUCCGAAACAUGCUGGGCACAAUGAUGCAUGCACAUCUCGGAGGGAAAGAUCCAGAGCUUGCUCGAGAAGCAUCUCCUUCUGGAACUGUAUGUCGCGGUACACGCCUAAGGCUGACCGUACAAGAGGACCAGGUCGACGUUCCUGCGCAAAACCUGUAAGUAUAGGAUCAAAACGGGGAGCCACUGACAUACCUUGAGCGAUUUGUCUGCGAGAUACACACCACCUCUCUGCCCAUGGUAGGCCCACAAAGCUUUCGAGACAGCGUCUAUCCCCAAAGGAGAUACUUUCCAAAGAGUAUGAAGAAAUUGAAGCAAUGAUAAUGAGAAGGCGAUCGUGGGGACUCGUGGCGACGCCGCCACGAAUCCCAUCUGAAGAAGACGAACAGGUUCGGCUGCUGCGCAUGAUAGACAGAAGGAGACAGAUUGUUUGACCUCUAACAUACAAAGUCAAUAUUUGCGGUUUAGCGGAAGACUGCUUACGUUUAUCGAGCGAUACGAGGGUGAUUUCCCGUGAAUAGUUCCGAGCUCCAGUGCAGAUACACUUAUGAAGAUCUAGAGCAUCCGUUCCGAAUGCCGGAGUUUG